CAGUCGCCGCGGGAAUACGAAGGGUGCAAGCGUUAAUCGGAAUUACUGGGCGUAAAGCGGGCGUAGGUGGUGGUUUAAGUCCGUUGUGAAAGCCCUGGGCUCAACCUGGGAAUUGCAGUGGAUACUGGGUCACUAGAGUGUGGUAGAGGAUAGUGGAAUUUCCGGUGUAGCAGUGAAAUGCGUAGAGAUCGGAAGGAACAUCUGUGGCGAAGGCGACUAUCUGGGCCAACACUGACACCGAGGCACGAAAGCGUGGGGAGCAAACAGGAUUAGAUACCCCAGUAGUCCCUGUCUCUUAUAC
rnacentral:rRNA from 1 species